GGACUACACGGGUAUCUAAUCCUGUUUGCUCCCCUAGCUUUCGUGCCUCAGUGUCAGGAGUCGUCCAGGGACUCGCCUUCGCCACUGGUGUUCCUCUCGAUAUCUACGCAUUUCACUGCUACACCGAGAAUUCCAGUCCCCCCUCCGACCCUCGAGCAAAGUAGUUUCCAAUGCAGUUUCGGAGUUGAGCUCCGAGAUUUCACAUCCGACUUACUUCGCCACCUACGCACCCUUUACGCCCAGUGAAUCCGAACAACGCUUGGGACCUCUGUAUUACCGCGGCGGCUGGCAC
rnacentral:rRNA from 2 species